rnacentral:misc_RNA from 1 species
CUAAGCAGCGGCUGCCAUGAUUUGGCGUGUAUCUUGUCAUCAAGUGCAUCGUCUAGAAAAUUACGAAAAUGCUUUAUGAAAAGCUUUAUUGGGUGCAAGUGUUCUUAGUAUCUAUACUAAUUAGUUCUAUUCUAGCAGAAUGGAACACGAGAGAUUACAUCAGGCGAGAGCACUCUCUCACAAAACCGUACCAAGGGAGUGGAAUGUCGGUGCCUUACUGGGACUUCUUAGGUAGCACUAUUGUGACUUCGAACUACGUACGAUUAACGCCGGACUUGCAGUCCAAGUCCGGAGCUAUUUGGAACACAGUGCCAUGUCAAACUCGCAACUGGGAGCUGCAAGUCCAGUUCAAGGUUCACGGACGUGGUAAAGACCUGUUCGGAGACGGCUUCGCAAUAUGGUACGUGCGAGACCGCAUGCACCCCGGCCCUGUCUUCGGCAGCAAGGACUAUUUCCAGGGCUUGGCGAUUAUACUUGACACGUAUAGUAACCAUAAUGGAGCUCAUAAUCACCAGCACCCGUACAUAUCGGCGAUGAUAAACAACGGGACGCUGCACUAUGAUCACGACAGAGACGGCACUCACACGCAGGUCUCCGGCUGCGAAGCCAAGUUCCGCAACUACAACCAUGAUACACACAUCUCUAUUACUUAUAUGGAUGACACGCUUACUGUAUCAACGGACCUUGAAGGCAAGAACGCCUGGAAAGAGUGCCUGAAAGUAGAAAAUGUGCUACUCCCUACUGGCUACUACUUCGGCGCGUCGGCCACUACCGGCGACCUCAGUGACAACCAUGACAUCAUUGCUAUCAAGAUGUUUGAACUUGAUCUCUUGGAGGCUCAAAACAAAGACGAGGACCGUUCCCAGAUUAUCCCCUCAGCGGCAUCGUUCGAGGCUCCUCGCGAAAGGAUCGAGGACUCCAAGCCAGCCAUGUCCGGAGUCAAAACCUUCCUCUACAUGAUGGCAAUAGCCAUUGUCAUCAUAGUACUGGUCGUUCUAGGCAUCAUGUACUACCAGAAACGUCAAGAACAAUCUAGAAAGAGGCUGUAUUGAGAACCCCGCAGAAUUAUACUUGUUUCAAAGACAUUCCUUUUUUAAAUAAGAACUACAUGUCUCUGAGUCAUUUGUUUUUUGGUUCCAUUUUCAAAUUUCAGGCUUUAGGAAUGUCUGGAGUUUUCUUUUUACAGGUUGAUUUGUUUUGUGAAUGAGACCUGUCAAAAAUGUCGUUUUGUAACCAGCCUGUGAGGUCCAUGUUUCUUUUUUAAAGAAAAUAUGAAUUAUGAAGAGAAGCAAUAUGAUUGUAACAAUAAUUUAUUGAUUUUAGAAUACAAAUUGAUAAGAGAAUAUGCCAAGACCAAUUCUAAUUAUGAAACUUUAAAGACUAAUCUUUAUGAUAUUCUAAAUCCAAAUAGAAUGUUCUCGAUAUAUUUAUAUUGUUACCUUAAUAUAUUAUUAUGUUUCUACUCAAAGCCAGUUUCCGAAAUAAUCAUUUAUUUCUCUUCUUAAAAAUUAAGCAAGGCUUAUGUGAUUUAGAAUAACGUUUCCAAAUUCUUAAAUUACAAAUCCGACACGCUAUUCAGUUUAAAAAUGUUCUGAUAUCUCUACACGACAAAAAGAGAUACCGCUAUACAAAUGUACAUGCGAGAAAGAGAGCGAAUAUGUUUGUCAACCCCGCCUUUUUAAUACAUCACCCGUCAAACUAUGCUUACAAACACCCAUAUAUGCUAUGACGUUGCAAUAAUCAACUUUAUUUCGUAACAAUAAGAAUCAUUUUCGUUUAUUUAAUUUACAUAUGAAAUCUCAUGACAAUUUUCUUUUGUCUUUGGGCCGAUUUUUCAAUCGUCAGUCGACUUCUAUCUGAGGAAUCAAUAUGGCGGUUUGACAUAUUGCUGAAGCUGUCAAAACGUCAAGCAUAUUCUUCAAAUAAAAGUUACUUUACGACCAAAAAUUCGGCUCUAAUUCGUUUGUCACUUGUUAAGGUAUAAAGGGUAAUAGUCAUUUAUAGCCCGGUUAAUUAAAGGUGUUUUUUUUAAUUAUAAAGGAGUUUGACUGCAUUUUUAUGGGUAUUUAUGUGUGACAAUAGUAAUAGUUUAUGUUUCACAAGCAUAGAAAUAAUAAUUGUGUCCAGUAAAAUAAUUUAUACUUACUUAUUAUAAGUAGUGUUGCCAUCCAAUUCUAUCAUAUUUUUAAAUGCAGUCUAACAUUAAAAUUAAUAGUUUUUACACUAACAUUAAGUACAUAAAAAUAUACAUAUACAUAAAUGUAUAGUCACUAUUUUACUAUAAAUACAUACAUAUUAUAAUUUUCUUGCUCAUUAUAUAAAGAACUGGUUAUCCACAUUAUAUUUGCAUAAGUUUAUUCUUUAUGUUGUAAGAUAAAUAUUUAAUUUUUAUUGUGUUAAAAUUGUUUGCUUGGGACUUUUGUCUAACUGACCAAAAAGCGUAAACAAAUUGGAGUUUAAUGUUUCACCGUUCAAUCUAAUAAAAUAAAGUCCGCUUUAGUAAAUUCAAGAACAUUAAACGUAGGCACAUGUCCCAGUAGACCUACAUUUAAAAAGUCACCUUUUCAUCAUCAAAACAGAAACAUUACAGUUGUCAUCAAAUAACUCUGUCGCUCGGAAAUUAGCUACUAAUGACUUCACGAUAGUCAGAAUGUAAUGGCUGACUUCAGAGGGGCAAAGUUUGAUUUGAUGAAAACUGUAUAUUGUUUGACUUUCAUAGCAUGAAUGAAUUGGUAAAGAAUACUUUAAAAAAUUGCCCCCAUUAGGAUUAUAAAACAGGACAUUUAAAACUGAUUCUAAAGCAAAUUCUCUUUGUUAAAGCAUAAUUGGAGUUUGUUAUUAGUGAUUAAUUUUAUCGUUAAGUCUGUUACAUUUGAACGAUUUUACACACUUAUAAAAUAAAUUAUUAUUGAAUGAAAGUAUUUAUUUAUAUCGUAACGUAAUUUAGUUCCUUUUGCAAUAUUAGUUGGUGUUAAAAUGGUUCAAUUGUGACUUAAUCAUUAUGUGAACGAGUGGUGUAUGUGUGUUUAAUAAAAAUGAUUUAUAAACUUUUC